UCGGGAAUUUUGGGCAAUGGGGGAAACCCUGACCCAGCAACGCCGCGUGAAGGAUGAAGUAUUUCGGUAUGUAAACUUCGAAAGAAUAGGAAGAAUAAAUGACGGUACUAUUUAUAAGGUCCGGCUAACUACGUGCCAGCAGCCGCGGUAAUACGUAGGGACCAAGCGUUGUUCGGAUUUACUGGGCGUAAAGGGCGCGUAGGCGGCAUGACAAGUCACUUGUGAAAUCUCUGGGCUUAACCCAGAACGGCCAAGUGAUGCUGUCGCGCUAGAGUGCAGAAGGGGCAAUCGGAAUUCUUGGUGUAGCGGUGAAAUGCGUAGAUAUCAAGAGGAACACCUGAGGUGAAGACGGGUUGCUGGGCUGACACUGACGCUGAGGCGCGAAAGCCAGGGGAGCAAACGGGAUUAGAUACCCCGGUAGUCCCUGAGCGGGCUGGCAAGGCGCAU
rnacentral:rRNA from 1 species